rnacentral:rRNA from 1 species
UACAGAGGUCCCAAGCGUUGUUCGGAUUCACUGGGCGUAAAGGGUGCGUAGGCGGUCGGGUAAGUCUGGCGUGAAAUCUCACAGCUUAACUGUGAAACUGCAUUGGAUACUAUCCGGCUCGAGGAAUGGAGGGGAGACUGGAAUACUUGGUGUAGCAGUGAAAUGCGUAGAUAUCAAGUGGAACACCAGUGGCGAAGGCGAGUCUCUGGACAUUUCCUGACGCUGAGGCACGAAAGCCAGGGGAGCAAACGGG